AAGAACCACUAGGGGAGCCAUCUGGCUGAGAAAAGCGCUGCUUUGACCCUUUGAACCUGAUCUGGCUUGUACCAGCGUAGGGAAGUGGAGAACAAUUGCU
rnacentral:ncRNA from 2 species